GAGCUACCAUUGUUUGUUUGUGUAGCGACAUGUUGAAAAUGGCGGAGGGGAGAGACCUACGCGACAUAAAGAGUCAAAUAUGAGUAAAACGUGAAUGACAAUUUCAAAACCGCAAAUUGGAUUUCGUAAUAACUUAAUUUUUGAAGGCGAUACGGAGUAAUGUAUAGCUGAAAACAGCGACACUAUUUUGAAACUGGCUUUGAAUUAGCCAACAUUGCUAAUCUCGCUAGCUUCAAUAGUGUGUUUUUUUUUACUCGCAGGCUUGUUUGUCAACAUUAGCCAACAACCAUGUUCUCCCUGGCUUGUGUUAGACUGCAGCGCCAGACCACAUUAUCCAUAGCGUGUGGAAGAGAUUGAUUCAUGGAGCGGCAGAACAGAAAACCAAGGCACCCGAACUAGCUGGCACUGGCCGCCCAAUUUACGGGCAUUACUGUUAAAUAUUUACAUCCGAAUUAGCCCAUUUAUGCAUGGAAAUUGAGCGUCUAACUUUAACCAACGACAGAUUGCAUUGAAAUUGAAUAAAUACAGAAGAUAAACACCAGCGUAUACGGAGAUUGAGGCAGGUCCUGCUCGCUACCUUCUCCCCCAGUGGGAUGGUGCUGCAUGACAGGGAGGCCUUGGCGCCAUAGCCCCCUCUCCUGGAUCCUACCUGCCCCACCACCACCCCCUCAGAGCAGAGGACCACCACAACAGCAGCCCCCCCCAUGAGUCACCCUCUGGAGCCCUAGAUCAACGUGCUGAAAGAGUGAAUAUUAAUACUUCAAAAUGUCCUCGGUAUGAUCUCUCUUUUUCUAGCAGUGAUCAUUAGGAAGUUAAUAGAACAAUAUUGCAGAAACCUGACUAGACUGACUUUGUCACUGUUACAUUGUUUACACCCUGGUAGCCAGUCCUUACAGAUGAGUAAGUGGGACAAAGAGAGACAGGUCAGGUCAUUGAGCUGCUAAACCCCUUGUCCAUACAGGGAGUGUUCAGUGCAGGAACAACACAACACAGAUGGGGCUUGUAUCUAUCUAUAUAUGCUGCUGCCUGUCGCAUGUAAUCACAAUUCUGUAGCACAGAAUCAACC
ensembl:lncRNA